CCUACGGGGGGCAGCAGUGGGGAAUAUUGCACAAUGGGGGAAACCCUGAUGCAGCGACGCCGCGUGAGUGAAGAAGUAUUUCGGUAUGUAAAGCUCUAUCAGCAGGGAAGAAGCAAGACGGUACCUGACUAAGAAGCCCCGGCUAACUACGUGCCAGCAGCCGCGGUAAUACGUAGGGGGCAAGCGUUAUCCGGAUUUACUGGGUGUAAAGGGAGCGUAGACGGUAUGGCAAGUCUGAAGUGAAAGCCCAGGGCUUAACCCUGGGACUGCUUUGGAAACUGUUAGACUAGAGUGCUGGAGAGGUA
rnacentral:rRNA from 1 species